rnacentral:rRNA from 1 species
UGGCGGACGGGUGAGUAAUGUCUGGGAAACUGCCUGAUGGAGGGGGAUAACUACUGGAAACGGUAGCUAAUACCGCAUAACGUCGCAAGACCAAAGAGGGGGACCUUCGGGCCUCUUGCCAUCGGAUGUGCCCAGAUGGGAUUAGCUAGUAGGUGGGGUAACGGCUCACCUAGGCGACGAUCCCUAGCUGGUCUGAGAGGAUGACCAGCCACACUGGAACUGAGACACGGUCCAGACUCCUACGGAGGCAGCAUG